rnacentral:lncRNA from 1 species
UUUUUUUUUUUUUCUUCUUGGAGAAAUAUGUUUCCUGUAUGUUCUGUUUGAUUCCAGAGAAAAUGUAAGGAAAUAAUGAAAAUCACAAUAUUGAUCUUAGAUUUUUCAGUACGUGGAAAAGAGACAAGAAAUGCCUCCAACCAAAUGAGCAUUCUACAAUUAUUUGGCUUAGUUGAGUUGAUCUGAACUUGACAUUGUUUGGAAAACAGAGUGACUAGAAAGUUUAAUGUUGGAUCAGUGGGGAAAAUGGAUAAUUCUGUUGUUAAUUCUAGCAAUGCAUUGAAAAUUCAGGACUAUAGUUCUGUGUGGUUGAUGGAGAACAUGGUCUGAUUGAGAUGAGAAUUUAUGAAUUAUUGGAGCAGAAUCUGAGCCUUGAAGGACUCAAUUAAGGCUAGGGAUCUGUUACUAACAUGUCUGUUGAGAAGUUUUUGAAUUGUGAGUCUUACUUGAAUAGAUAUAUCUGGUUGAUGGGAUGGUCAGGAUUCACAACCUUUUUCUAUUCUGCCGUGUUUAUUUUUUAGCUGAUUAGACCAAUUUUCAUUUUGAUAGGAAGACUAAGCCAAUUUCUAAAUAUGCUGACUCUGGAAUGUUAUGGAAGCAUUCUGAUUCAAAGGGAUUAAAUUAUCGAGCAAAAGAAAAAGAAAAUGUAACUGUUUCCUUUUGUUUAAAUAAGUUGUUUCUAAUGGGAUUGCUAGAUAUUUAUUUUUACUCUUUUAUGAGCUGAACACUUUAUUUUACUGAAAUUGCACUUGUGAAGAAUAUGGUUCUGAUAAUAAGGUGGCCUCUUUUGAUUGUACCUUACAGUCAUCAAGGUGUUGCUAAAAAAAUUUCUUAUUCAUUUCAGAUAAGCUAUGUGGAAUUAUCCCUCUAUAUGUGCUUGUGAAACAAUAUGAACGCUGUUUUUCUCCCUAUCAUCAACUGAGGUAAGAGUUCUAAUUUUACUCAUUGAUGAAAGAAUAAUUGGAAGCAUAAGAGUUUCUAUAUAUAAAUCAGUGGUUAUUUAUAUGGUUUGGGUUUCGCAAUACAGGUUCCAAACAGUGGAAUCUCUUAAGUGACCAUGCUAAGCAUUCCUACUUUGUUGUUUGUGCAAUUCUUGGCCACAUCUUAAGUUUAAAUUUGUUUGAACGGUAAGUGACAUCUGAUAUGCAAUUUUAUUUCCAUAUGUCAUAGAAGUUAAUAAAAUGAUCAUUAUAUCAUACAACUAUAAUUGAACACUUUGUUCAGAGGUAUUGUAUCUAAUGUCGAUGACUGAUUGAGGGCUCUCUUAUGGGAAGGAUUUAUAAAUUAAACCGGUUGUCUUGACAUAUUUCUUGAAUGACUGAAUUAGGGUACCACUGGGUAUUACCAAUUUGGUGUGGAUAGAAACCAAGGUCUGAUGAUCAUCUUUUAUAUUUUGUAGGCUGGACCAGAAAAUAUAAUCAAGAUACUGUUUAAUUUUUUGAUUUGGAGGAGAAUAAGAAAAUGCUUUUGAGUAGAGAAGAUGAUGGCUGUGUGGAUACUCACAUUAAUAAAUAUUUACCUUCCAAUUAAAUCACAUUUCUUAGAACUUAAAUACUAUUUGUGUUGAUUCCAUCUUUUGUGAUAAUUAAUAAAUUAAAAAUAAGGGCAUUCCAUUCCAAAAAAGAAGGCCAAAACCCUAGUUUCAUGGCUUUAUCACUUCCACUGUCAUUAUUUUGGUUUUUAUUAAUCCGUACAAACCUGUAAUUUACACCAUUUUCAAUUUUUUAUGUAGGCAUUAUUUUUUAUUUGCCCCAUGGUCAGUCUUUAUGCUCAGUCUAUUCAAUAAGUCUUUGCAUAUAAUGGGAACUAUGAAAGGUUGGCCUCUGUUAUAAAUAAAAUACGAUAAAACUCAGGGAUCUCUUAUGCAUGUCCCAUGUCAGGAAUUAUGGAUCAACAGAACCAUCAGUUUGAAUUAGAUAUUCAUAGCAAACUUGCACCUCGAUGACUUAAACCUCUUUACCAAACCCACCCAAUAUAGUGCAGCUGAAUUCCAAGAAUCUGUAUUUGCUCUCUAUAAGUCAAUUUAAGAAAUAGGAAGUUCUAACCCCACAUGCUUGCUCAUCCAAAAUCCAGCCAAAGGGGAGCCAGAUAUGCAGUUUAGGUGGGAAAUCAUCUGCCUCCACCUGAGAUGAUCACUUGCAUCCCUUUGAUGGGAACUGGUCUGUAGAGCCAGCAUCUGAAGCAUUUAUUUAAUGGGAACAGGAGACUGAUCCUUGUUCCCAUCCACACACACCCACACGACAGAUAUAAAAUAGGAGGGAGAGAGAAGGGUGAAUACUAAUUUCCCAUGGAAUUUGUGACCUAAUGGGUAUCAUAGCAACUUACAAAAUCCAAUGAUGAAGUCCAACACAUGGACACACAGAAAGAGAGAGACUUCAACUUGCACAUUAUAAUGAUUUUCAGUCCAACAUUUGCCAGUAUCUUACUGAUCUGACCAUUAUUAUGUAAAGUUCUCCUAGCUCCAUCAUGACCAUGAACUAGUACAUGAAAUAAAACACAAGUCUAAUUAUCUCGCAAUCCAACCAUUUUCUGAUUGCGGAAGCAUUUUUUUUUGUCAUACAUAAAUGAACUGAUAAGCAUAAACCAAAAACAAACACCCAGUAGCAGUCCCUUUACUGAAACUUUAGCUUGGGAAUCGAUCAAACCCUGCAAAAACAAAAGACAACAAAAAAUAACAACCAAAAAAAAAUUUAAGUUUUAUCACCUUUGUAAAGUCAGAAAGCUACAAAAUUUCUUUUUGUGUAUAUGUGCACAUGUUGUUCCCACAUAAUGCAUACAUGCACUUUGCAUGCAUGUAUGUGUUGUGUGUGUGAGAGAGAGAAUUUUGUGUUUUUGCAUGCAUACGUAUGUAUAUAUGUUUGUGUAACAGGGAGAGAGAGAGAGAGAGAGAGAGAGAGAGAGAGAAUGAGUUUUGUGCUUAUGAGUGCAUAUGUAUGUGUGUAAGGAUGAGAGAGAAAGAACUAACUUCUUGCAGUCCAUGUCUGAGGUAAUGGUCAUGUUCAGAUUGAGCUUGCAGGAUGAUAGAAGUUGAUUAGCUCUUUUAAAAUUAACACCAAGAGUUGGUGCAAUCUGCAUGAAACACUCGCACAGAGACUGGCGGUCAGGCUUGCUUACAACUAUCUUCUUCAGAGCCUGUGCACUGUUGCAACACGGCAAGGUAGGCUUGGGAUCUCCCAUCCCAAGCAAGUAAGACUCACAAGAGAUUAAUGCAGACACUGCAUCACCGCAAUUUAUCCCUGAUGUGGGAAUUGCCAGCAUAAGAAUUACUGACAAACACAACAUCCACCUAGAAAACACUAUCUUCUUUGCCAUCCUAGUUAUUCAAUCUUAGAAUGCUUCUUCUUGUAUUAUGCUCAAUAUAGAAGCCUUCUGAGUGUUGAAUGGAACAAAACAACACAGACAUGGUUAUAUAUAAGCUUUAGAGUGGAGUUGUUUGUUUACACUCUUAAAUGACUUCAACUGCACCUCUGUAAGAAUCCGUGUGUUCAAGUGUGAGUGUGUGUGUGUGUGUGUGAGAGAGAGAGAGCAUAUCUAAAUUAAUGUUAGUUAAUUUUACCAGAAAAGAGGUUGGUUGAUUAUGUAACACCCACUUGCUUGGUUGGGUUCCAUAUGUGUGCAAAUUGCCAGUUGUCCCAUUGGAUGUUAGUGGCUGGAAAUGUCAUGUUAGAAACCCACAUGCACUUUUAAUAUUCAGCUAUAUCCACGUGGACCACAUCCAAGUUUUUGUUUAAUGUUCCACCUUGAGUUCUCCCACUUUGAUGGUCAACAGAUUCAAAUUUAGUUAGCGUCAAGGAAUGAGAUCUGUACAGUGUCACUUGAGCAUGCAUCAUGUUGAAAAUUUCAUACUUAACAUGAAUAAGCCAACAAGCAUUCACAUUUUAGGAAAUACAUAUGUUACAAGACCAUACUUCAUUUUAGGUUAUCAUCUUGCUCUUGUUCAGCUGACCUUUAUCUUUUCGUAAUACAUGUACAAGAGAGGGUUCUGAUCCAAUAUUAAAUUUUUACCUGGAAAAAUGCCCUGUUCCAUUGGCUCUUUGUGCUAAACCGUCUCCCAAUGUUCUUUGGUAAUUAAUUUAGUAACUUUAAUUAGGUCAUUUAUAAGUUAAUGCAUUGUAUGACUGGGAAUGAAGGAAAAAUAGAUACCAGGCUUCCUAGUCAAUCUCAAUUUUAAUAACAGAAAAAUAAUCUCUUUGUAUCAAUUUUCGUCUGAUAUUUAGAUGAUGAUUGUGGUGGAUAUGGAUUCGAUUACCAAUGGAAUUAUAAUGUUGAUUCCCAAGUUUUCUUCUAUAGGUUGCUUCUGAAAUUAAUUAUGAUUUAUUAUGUCAUGAAGAUGCCUUAGUUCUGGCAAGAUUCGUUGUAUGUGUUAAUUCUUUCUUUUGGGUUUUCAUCACUCUAUGUUUGACUCUGAAAUUAAUACUUUUACUUUGUUUUCUUAUACAGUGAGUAUUUUACUGAAAGUGAAUUUUUAUCUAGAAUAGUGAGGCCGUCAGCUAGCCUUGCCUGAGUAUUUUGAUGACUAUGUUAUGAUCUCAUAGUGUCAGCCUGCUGCAACAGGGAUUUUUUUCCCUGCAAUGGUUAGAAGCCAUCUGUUGAAGUUUUGGCAUCGAGUUCCAUAUGAUUUUGAGCUUUAUAUUUGCAGAUCUUAUACUUUCAAGGGAACAUGGCUCCUGUUUACCCUGGAAAUGAACAGUGUUUGAAAGAAAUGGAAAAAAGAGGAAAAAGAAAAAGAGGAAGGACUGUUGUUCUUGUGGGGUAUUGGGUGAGGUGAGCAUUCAUAACGUACUUUAAAUUCUUUUUAUAGCUGUCUUAAAUUUGACAUAGUCCAUGUAAAUAAUCGCUGGAUACCCUGUGGAGCAACUCAUUGAAACACCUAUAUUAUGGGUCUGUUUAGUCCAUAUCAGCAAUAUCGCUGAUUCUCUUCGAGCUCUGUCUGGUCCAUAUCUACAGUCCUCCAUUUAAAUAUCUGAGGAUAAUCUGACAAUGGAAAAAAAAAAUACAAAUCAUGCAGGUUUAUAUUUAUUAUGCCUGUUGUUAGUUUGACAGCAGGAUAUCUGUGGGGCUGACAUUUACUUGGUUCGUCUGUCCUCUACCUACCAAUUUGACAAAGGAAAACAGCAGUCUUAUCACUUGAAAUAGUAGUUGAUGUGCUACAUGCAAUUACAUUAUUGCAUGAUGGGUGGUGCUAAAGAAAAAGUGGCAGGAAGAAGUAAUAAGUUCUGGUUGUUCUGCUGGUGAAAACAAUUAAGUUCUUUCAAUAUGUAUAGAUCUAAAUAGAAUAAUUCUGCAUUAUUGACCUGAAUUAAUUGUGUAGUUGGUCAUAUUGGAUUUGGAAUCAUGUCAGAGUCAGGCUUCACUGAGUAGUUCACAAUUAGGGUGAUUCAUUUGCAUCCUGAUACGGAGCAAGCUUGGAUUAAAUCAACUAUGGAUGUGGAUGCAGAAGAUUUGGUGUCAUUUUGAAACUUGCAGAAAGAAGUUUAAGAAAUUUAAUAUUUUUCUGGGUUAGCAUUGCUGAAUACCUGAAUAACAAUAGUACAUUUUAAUAUUUUUGUUGAUUAAUGUGUAAAUGUGGACAUUUAUAGAAUAAUUAGAGAAAUUUGUAAAUAUUGGGGAACAACAGAAUCAACAGGCAAUUUGAACUUAGGAUCCUGGCAUCUGUCAAAUGCUUAGUUCAUAAAGUUCAAAGAAAUCAAACUCAAUAUCAGGAAAGUGAUGCUGUAGAUAAUCUCAUUUAUUCCCAUUUUAUUUUAUUUUAUUUUAUUUUUUCUUGCUUCUGCUGUUGGAAGGGCUAUCAGUAACUGCUGAGCUAUGUGAUGUGAUCAGUAAUUGGAAAAUUGCAGGAUAGUUAAUCCUGAUUAUAUUUGUCCAAAAAACAGUCAGUGAUAAUUUUUCAUUAGAUUUUGGAGGCAAGUUGUCCCUGAAGUCGAGUCCAAUUGCACCCAUCAUCAGAUGUACCUCACUGCAUUUGGAGAUUUCAGUAGCAAGACAUCUUCAUCUUAAACUGUGAGUUACUAAACCUAUGUUAGAUUCUCUUUGGUUCUGCUUUUAUCCCUUGGAAUCAGGACCCCAGAUCUUUUGACAAUGUUUGAGUUGUUAUUAAAUGCUCUCUCUCACACACACACACACAAAAGAAAUUGUAAGUGCUUCUUUGUCAUUGUUUUUUUGGGUCACAUACCUUGUUCCAAAGUACACCACCUCAAUGUAUGAUGUGUUCAAGGAUGGUUUUGCUUAUAGAACAUCAAGUGGAUUUGAUUUCUAGAAGGGAAAGCUUCAAUAAUAAUGAUAUUGUCUUUGAUUGUUUUCAAUAAAUAUAAAUAGGUUUCAAUGACUUAUCAUAGAAACACUAAAUUGCGAUAUCGAAUCUUUAAAUAUAUGGAUGUUAUUGAGUCGCAUUUGGUUGCUUGAAUAGUUAAUGAUGAGGCCUGCAUGUGUAUCCUUUGCCCAUAUUUACAAUUUUUAGAAUAGUAAAAAGGCAGUUGUACUGCUGCAUACAUCCCAUUCAUAAAUCCCUCAAUGUUAUAUAAAUGCAUUUGAAGCCCAUGCUCCAAAAGUAGGUAGUUAAUUGCAAAGCCCCAACUCAUUACACCACAUGAAGAAGUAGGGCCACGGUUAGGUCAUAUGGCACUUAUCAUGUUAUAUAUUCUAAUAUGUGAGUCGCAUUGUGAUAUGUGGGUUAUUAAUUUUCCAUGGAAAGUGACACUUAUCUUUGUUCUUAAUUUUCAUGUUGUGAUUUUUGUUGAAUCCUUCACAAUAUGUUUGGUGUCUAGAAAGUUUGAGGUAAAGAAAAUAGAGAAGAAAAAUAUACGACAAAAAAAGGUGAGAAAAAUUUAUAUUGGUGGUCUAUAGAAAAGUUGAGGGAAAGAAAAUUAGAUUAUUGAGGAAUGCAUCUUCUUGAAACUUCGUUCAGUUAGUAAGGAAAAUGAGGAGAAAAUCUUUCAACAUUUUUCCUUCUCUUUUCUAUAGUAUUUUUUUCUUGCCUUUUUUGUAGUAUUCAAACAUAAGAAAAUCAUUUUCUUUAAUUUUUUUAGAAGCCAAACAUAGUCUCAUUUUCUUGAUCUCAAAUAAAACAUAGUUUGGGAUCUGGGUUACAUUCUUCAAAUCCUGCAUCUCAUGAAUUAUUGGGAACACUGCUGAAAGGUGAAAGAAGAAACACAGGUCUAGGAGAACAAGAAAAAGAGAAGAGAAAGAAAAAGGAGUUCUUUAGCUACCAUACUACAAUCUUUGUCCUUCUCCCACAUAUCUAUGAUCCAACAGGAAACAAACAAACAAACUACAAUAGUUUAAUUUUUGCACAAAAUCCUCCACACUGCCACUCCACCAACUUUUAUUUAAUUUUCUUCAUAUCAUAGUCACUCUAGUAGAAUUUCCACGUUUCACUGAACCCUGCAAAUUCAAACUCAGUGAGUAGCCAGUAUCAUAAUUAAGAGAUUGUGAAUAAAUACUCUUAAUUUUAUGAAAAACUCAAAAUCUAAAUAACAAAAUUCUAAAUCCGAAAGAAUGAAAGGUCAUAGUGUNNNNNNNNNNNNNNNNNNNNNNNNNNNNNNNNNNNNNNNNNNNNNNNNNNNNNNNNNNNNNNNNNNNNNNNNNNNNNNNNNNNNNNNNNNNNNNNNNNNNACUGGCACAGCACUCACUGCUAGGCUUAGGUGCACCCACGCCCAACAAGAACGAUCCACAAGGGAUCAAAGCUGAGACAGCGUCACCACACGACACCGCAUCCACCACCGGGCUGGCAAUGAUCAGAGCCAGGACCACCAACCCAUGAACCCACACCAUCUUCUCAGCCAUUCUUUCCUCUUAAGAAGAAAUGGUUGUUUGCUUGCUUAAUUGCUUGCUUACAUGUUUGGAUUGUGAGGGGUUUGCUUUAUUUAUAAUGCCUUGGGCUGGGGCCAGGGCAUCUCACCUGUGGCUUAUUAUUAAAUAUAACUCAACUUACAGUUAUUUUUAAGUGAAAAUGGGGAUAAAACAGAGCUUUGAUUUGUUUGACUGCGUUUGUAUCUGCAUGCGUGUGGUAAGACUUAAGCGCUUAUAUUGAUGGUUAGAGUUUGUUUAGUUCAAGGAAUAAUCUCAACAACUAACCCUAUCGUAAUCUUACUAAUAGUUCGAUUGUCUUAAUCUUAUUAAUAAUCUGGUGGGAGUUCACCUAAUGUCCAUUACAGCAUUUAAUUUUUGUAAAUGCAUAAACAAAAUAAAAUUAAAAUUAAAAUAAAAUUUAAAAGCCUUUUCAUUACAACUUAGGAUGUGUCUACCAAACAGGUUAUAUAUAUCUUUAACUAGGAAAUAAAUAGAUAUAAGAUUACAACGUUUGGAUAUAUAUAAUUUGGAAAAUCUUACAAGAUUUUUUUUUCUCUAUUAUUGAUUCUUGGAAAACAAAAGGGAAAGAAAAAAGAAAAAAAAAAGAUUUAAAGUUAAAAAGUUAUUUUAUAUGGUUUUAAAAAUUAUUUUAUUUAUUUUUACAACAAUUAAAUGACUUAAAAUAUACAUUUUUUAAUUAAUUUUAAGUAUUUAUAUAUAUAUUUUUAUGAUAAAUUAAAUGUGAGAUUUUAUUUUUUAAUUUUUUUUUACUAUUUUUCUGGAAUCUUUAACUUGAAAAACUUAAAUUCAAAGGAACCAAGUACAUACACAGGAAAGAAAGAUGAAAAUGAGGAGUUUUAAAUAUCACUCUACCAACCCCAUUGACCAAAAUUAAUUUUGGUUCCAAUAAUUAUGAGUUUAAGAGGUUGUAGGGGCUACUUGGGAAGUUGAGUGGGAGGUGAUGAUUUAAUGAAAUUAAAUGCAUCCAAUAAUUAGGUAUAAAAAUAGUAAUAAAAAAAGUGUCACAAUUAGCAUUUAUCUACCAUCACUCUCAAGUCAACAUUCAUUUAAUAUUUAUUUAUUUAUUUAUUAUUUUUCUUGUUCCAAAUUCAUUUAUAAGUACAUGAUAAUUAAACAAAUUUGAAUGUUAAGUGGUUUGAAAUUUUUUUUUUUUAAAUAUAUAUAUAUAUAUAUAUAUUUGGAUAUACAACACUUCAAAAAACAUUUCCAAAUCUAUGCCAUUUUGUCCCAACAAGACACUACAUAAUUUUUACGGUAUUUUGCCAAUAAGGAUAAAAGACAAUAGAAAAUGAAAAAAAAAAAAUUAAAUUACUAUUUUUUUUUUAUAAAUACAUUCUUUUUAAUUUACUAUAAAUUUAUCAAAAAUCUUAGGAAAAUGUGAUUGCGAGGGGCCCUGUUUGAGCAGUGGGAUUGAUGGAUAUCAGUAUGCAUUUAUGAUGAUUUCUAGAGAGCUUUCUGGUGAGCCAAGUAGGAUAAUAUAAAAAUUAAGAAGAAAGCAAAUUAGGGAGAAAAGGAGGGAUUAUUUGGACACCCUUUUUAAAAAUAGUUUUCUUAAAAUCAAUUCAAUUUUAUUUUCAGUUUUUAAAACAGAAAAAACAAAAACAAGAGGGUUUUCGUAUAUUGGAUUUUUGAGGAAGAAUAGUUUAUUUUUAAAAUUUUAUUUUAAAAAAUAAAUUUGAAAUAUAUUUUUAAAAUUUUUUAUGGAAUGUUAUAAAAAAUAAUUAAAAAGAUAAAACAUAUGUUAACAUUUUUUGUAUUAUAUAUGUUUAUAUAGUAUUUUCACAAAUAAACAAUAUUUGAUUAUAUAUAACAAAAUAAAUUUUAAAUUUUUUUAUUGAAUUUGUAUAAAAUUAUUUAAAAAUAAAAUAUUAUGAAAAUUAUUCAUAAAUUUAAAGUAUUUUCACUAAUUUUAAACAUAAAAAUUAAGUUUUUGAAAAUAAAUUCCACAAUUAUUUUUAGAAAUAGUUUAUAGAAGUAAAAUAAAAACAAUUUUUACCCGCCUAAAAAAGCUAAAAGUGCUUUCUCUUCUUCUUCUUCUUCUUCUUUUAUUUUUUUAAAAUUUUUUUAAAUAAAGAAGAAAACAAGAACAGAUAAAAAAAUUAUUCAAAAGAAAAAAAAUAAAUUUAAAUAAAUAUAAAAGUUGAUUAUUAUAUUUUUCAUGGGUUUUCCUUUCUUCUGGCUUGUUCCUCCAUGUUUCUUAGCGAUGGACGUCUUCAAGAACAGACAUGAGGAAAUGCCAAGGUAAUAGGUUGCUGCAAGAGGCGACAAAACAACCGAUUUGUUGCUAUUAUAUAGAUUGAUCUUCCAUUCAGUUUGUUUUCAGAUUUGAAGCAUUGAAAUCAUCGAAUCAUCUGCCUCAUCUGCAGGCUCACCUCCUCGAGAUUUCCGGGUCCAAACAACACUGAAAACCAAGCUAAUACUACACCACUCCAAUCCAAACCAGACUUGAAUUGGGAAAAAAUAAAAAUAAAAACCAGGAAAAUCUCUCCCCACCCACUUGAUUAUUCAUGGCUGUAAGUGUUUCUUUCCUUCCUUUUUUUUCUUAGCACUAUCAAUUUUCAUGUGGAUUUCUGAGAAUUUGGCUCUGUUUUCCACUGUUUCAUUUGCUUUAAUGUGAUGCCUGCCAUCUGUUUGAUUCAAAUCUCUCUGGGUUUCUGAUUUUGUGGUGUUUAUUCGCUCUCUGGAUUGACGGGUGUCAUGAAAUAAUGAAUUUAUCUUCUUUGGUAGUUGUUUGUUGGAGGUUUAGACUUUAGAGUCAUUUAAUGCUGUCUUUUGUGGAUAGUACGGUUGAGAAAAUUUAAUAGAGCCAUGAAACUAAUUAAUUGAAGCUCUAGUCUGAACAGAACUCAUCCGCCAUGGAAUUAAACCAGCUAAAAGCAAUUAAUUUAACAAGAGUUUUCCCAAUUAGAUACAAAAAUUUAAUGGAAAUUUCAACUAUCAAAUGUUUGAUUAUAUUGUGAUGGGCCAUGCUUACAAAUGAGUUGGUUGCAGCAAAGAUCCCAUGUUCCAAAGUUCGGAAACUGGGACAAUGACAAUGUCCCAUACACAGCCUACUUCGACAAUGCCCGCAAAGAGAAAACCGGUCCUACUGGAUUGAGGAUAAACCCUAACGAUCCUGAGGAGAAUCCAGAAGCCUUUAUGUUUGGGAGGAGUGAAGCCACUCCUCCCCAUCAUCUCAAUCCACAGAAGCCCCCCCCAGAAGAAAACAACCAGGUAGAGGGGCACAGGAGGCGGGAUUCUCACCGGAGAAGCCCUUCUGAUCAACAGCAGAGGAGUGGGGGUACUAGUAGGAGCAUCAACUCUGAAUCUGGCAGCGAGAAAAGCAACUUGGAUUACUCCCAUCUCCGGAAGAAGAGUCAGCUCAGUGAUGGUGGUAGUAGUAGCCUCUCUCCCUCGGUCCCAGGACCUUCGCAUACUAGACUGAAAAGCAUCGGAACUCCUCCGCCUGAUGAUCAUGUAAGUUAUUUGCAUUGCCUAACAAUUUAAGCUUUUUAGGUUAACUAAUAUACUUUUAGUAUUGUCUCGAAGCUCUGGUUAACUAGAGGCCUCAGGUUUUUAUGUAUAUUGGGUUGGCAGGCUCAUAGAGUGGCAUCAGUGCCCAAAUUUGGUGCUUGGGAUGAAACGGACCCUACUUCAGGGGAAGGUUUUACUGUGAUUUUCAACAAGGUCAAACAGGAAAGACAAGUUGCAGCUACCAUGCUUCCAAGAGUGCCCCCACCACAAAGUGCUUAUUCAAACAGCCAGAAAAAGCAUCAAAAUUCUUCCUCUGGAUCAAAGGUGUGUUUGCAUCACUACUUCAUGGUUUAUGUUGAUCUUAUGUUUGUUCAAUCCAAUAAUGUUGAAGUGAGCUUUUUCUGUCAUUUUUAUGAAGUGAUUCCUCUAAACCUUAUGAACGUGUUUUAAAUUUUUAGAAAUUAAUAAACUCAAAAUGAAUGAUGGAUAGCAUUUAUGUGUCACAACGAAUUACUAGAAUCAAUUCCUGCAUAGAAAUAUGAAAGUUUGGUCAACUUGUGACCUCACUACCAUGACGAGGAUGUCGUGCCUAUAUAAAAAAACGAUUAUGAUACCAGUAUAAAGAAGUUGUUUUUAGUACUUAUAAUUAACGACUCAUCUAAUUUAUAUGGAUAUGUUUUAAAAUCAUAAAGACCCAAGACACAAAACGGAUAAUAUGAAUGCAGGUGGACCUACACCAUAAUGUCAUGUCUUCAUAACUCGUGUUUGUAGUGUAAGUAGAGUUUAAAGCGAACAAUAUCUAAACAAGUCAUAAUAAUUAAAAGUCAAUUCUAGUUUUUGUUACCCAUUUCUAUUCGAUUUUUUCUUGCAAACCAAACAAGGUAUGAACUUAAUAUUCUUUUCCAUUUUUAUCUUCUUACCCUUGGCUUGAUGCUUCCUUGUACAAAUUUAUCAUGUUCUCAUGCUGCCAUGCAGAUAUGUUGCUGCUUUUCGGCGGGGAGGGACUGAUGCACACGGCUUUAGCUUCUCAAGCCCCUUCAUAUAAGAAAGACACAUUUUCAUACAUAUUAUCAUGGGAAAGUUGUGUUUUAUAGGCUUCCAUAUGAGAAAUAUAUGGUUUUGAAACCCAUAUAAUUGAAAUAUAGGUUUUGGUUGGUAAUAAAAAAAAAUAUUAUAGGAUUCAUGUACUAUUUACUGUUUAUAUUUUAAUUUCCGAAAUUACCCUUAAAGCCUCCCAACCGCUCUUGGGGGUUAAGGGUCUCCCUACCGGAAAUUUUCUUUUUUUAUCUCUUGGGGGCGCCCGACAGAUCCAAGAUCCAGAAAACAUGGGGAGCAAAAAAACAACAAUUUUUUUGGUUUUCCUUGGGGUUUUGCAAGAAUUUUCUCGGAAAGCAAACGAGGAUGGGGCGGGGCGGCGGCAGAAAACGAAUGCCGGAGGGGGGACGGCGGCGGCAGAUCCAGAAAACACGGGACCAAAAAACGGGAGAAGCAAUUUUUUUGGUUUGCAACCAUCCCGGAAAACGAAUGCCAGGGGGGGGGCGGCGGCGAAGGAGUUGAAAACACGAGAGCAAAAAAAAAAAAGCAAUUUUUUUUGUUUGCAUGGUUCCCGAAAAACGACUGCCGGGGGGUGGGGUGGCGGCGGCGGCAGUUGAAAACACAGGAGCAGGCGGCGACGACAGAUCCAGAGAAAUUAGGGAGAAAAAAAUGCAAUUUUUUUUUGUUUUCCUUGGGGGUUUUUGUAUGGAUUUCCUCGGAAAUCAAACGAGGGUGAAUUUUCCCGGAAAAAGAAUGAGGGAGGAGAUCCAGAAAACACAAGAGCCAAAAAAAAAAGCAAUUUUUUUGGUUUGCAUGGUUCCCGGAAAACGAACGGGGGAGCGGCGGUGGCGGCUGCAGCGGCGGCAGAUACUGAAAAUGCAGGGAGAAAAACAAAAAAAAUAAAAAAUAAUAUUUCAUAAAUUUAAAAAAUAAAGGGUAAUUUUUAAAAUUAAAAUAUAAAUAAUAAAUAGUGUAUAAAAUCUAUAAUAUUUUUCUUAUUAUUAGAUAAUCUAUAAUAUUUUUCUUAUUAUUAGAUAAAACCCAUAUUUCAGUUAUAUGGGUUUCCAACCAUAUAUUUUUCAUAUUAAAGUUUAUAAACACAAUUUUUCCUAUUAUUAUUAUUCAAUUUUAUUGACAAAGAAUCAUCCAUUGAAUAAAUUUAUUUUUUUAUAUUUAUAUAUACCUUUGUCUUAUAUUUAUUAUUAGAUAGGCUUAGUUUGAAUUCAGCGUUUUUUUAAAAUAAAAAAUAAUAUUAUUGCUCUCUAGAUGAUCAUUUUGCCUUCAAUUUUAAUUUUUAACUAAAGUUAAAAAACAUGACCUCUAAUAAAGCAAAAUUAAAGAGUCAAAUAAUAUUUUUUUUAAAUAGUUUAUAAUCAGAUUAAUUACUAAGCUUUGAUAUUUUAUAUUUUUAUGGUACCAUUUAAAUUCUGGGUCUACUUGAAGUCUUGAAUUGAUGGGUGUAGGCUUUUUUUUUUUUGGUUUUUUCCUUCAUGACAAUUGAUUGACUGGGACAUAAGUGGCCCACCUUAGAAUGAAAUUAUUAGAUGCAAAUGUGGGCCUACCAAAUGGCCUGGUUGGCAGAUGCCGCUCAAGGUUUCAAACUUCAAAUACAUACAAGAUUUAAAUUACAACUUUAAUUAAAUUAGCCAAGAGGUAAUCUUAACCCAUCUAGGUAAUUCAACUUCCAUCAUUUUAUCCCAUUUUUUAUUUAUUUAUUGUGGCACAUGUAAUAUCAAAAUAUGUUUUUUCGAUAAGAUAUCAUCAAUCAAAUAUAUAGAAUAAAAUAUUUAUGAUAUUUUUUUUAUAAUUUUAUCAAAAUAUUCAUGAUUUAGGACGUUGAUAUCAAAAGAGGGGUAUAAAUGUUUCAAUGUCAUACAAAAUUUCGAAAAUAACAUAAAGAUAAAUUCAAACAAUUUUUUAUUUAUGAUAAAUAUAAGAAGAAAUCAAAAUAGUUAUAUAGAAUUAUAUUGAUUAUUAUGUGACAUAGUAUCAAUGUGUGUUAUUUUAUUAUCAAAUAUUAGUAUAUGACCAUAUAAAACUUAUAUUAUUUUUUAAAUAAAUAAAUUUAAUAUAUGUAUUGUUAAUUAUUUUACCAUUUAUAAAGUUUUAUUUAUUUGUUUUAUAUAUUUUUAGUCAAUUUUCAUGUAUUUUUAUAUUAAUGUUCCUCUCUAUAUUUUCAGCAAAUCGAAUCCUCUCUCUCUCUAUGUAUAUAUAUAUAAUUUUUGGGGCUUAUUUAAUAACUGUUUUCUAAAACAAUUUUUUAAAAUUAUUUUCUAAUGUAAUUUAUAAAAUAAAAGUCUGUUUGAAAAUUUAAAUAUUUUUAAUUUAAUUUUAAAAUAAUUUUUAUAUCUAGUAUUUAAUUUUUAAUUAUUCUACAUAUUUAUAUAAUUAUUUCUAAAAACAACUUAUAAAAAACAAGUAAAAAUAAUAUAAAACAAUUAAAAAAUAUUUUUUUAAAAUACCUAAUUUUCUAUUUUUAAGAAUAAAAAAUAGAAAAUAGUUUUUAAUUUUUAAAACGUAUUUUCUGUAUUUUUUGUUAUGAAAAAUAGAAAAACCUUUUAAAAAACAAUUCCUGAGUAAUAUUUUUAUAUUUAACGGUCAAGACAAUUAAACGAAAAAAAUAGUGCUUAGAGACAAACUAACGACGUCGUUUUACCUUGAGUGUGAAAAUUUGCCUUGGCAAUAUAACUUUCGCGAGCGCCAAAACUGUUAUAAAUGGGGGCAGAACAGAGCAACUCUAUCUGUUAAUUCAUCUUUCAAAAUUUGAAUAUCCUGAAGUUCCGAGAACCCGCCGAUCAUCAACCGUUCUGUGUUGAUCGAUGGAGAUAGCAUCCGUUCCGAUCAGUUCGUGUUCCAAACACAACCAAAAGAUCUACCAAGAAUGGUUCAACUACGCCGAUUCAGGUCUCUUUCCUUCCCUUUCUCACUAACCAAACACCCUCUCUCAUUCCAUUCUCAUUGCUUUUAUUUGUGUACUUGUUUAGAUAACGAUGGACGCAUUACUGGAAAUGAUGCCACAAAGUUCUUCGCAAUGUCCAACCUUUCCCGUUCGGAACUCAAACAGGUUCUUUUCUCCAGUUUUGUUUUAUUUUAUUUUUUGCUUCGAAUAUAUAUAUUUAAUAUCGGCAUUUUAUUGCUUUCAAAUAGGUGACUGGAGCUUUUGAAUCAAAAGAGUUUUAGGCGGAAAUGAUGAAUUAUUUGGUUAUAAUACUGAUAGAUGUUUAAUCAAUUAAUCAAAUCGGUUCUGGACUCGAAAUUGCUUGAGGCCAUAGAUAAUUUAAUUGUGAUUAGAACAUGUUUUCUCAAGCAUUUCAUUUAUUUUCUUUUGUAUUUACAGGUUGAGAAGGUGAAUAAUAUGUUUAAUAUGUAGGAACUUGUUGUAAAUCUAACUUCUAUUUUCUUCCAUUUUCCUUAUUUUAUUUUUUUUCAUUUGUUUUAAUCCUCCGAACUAAAAUUAAAAGAAUUUAAAUUUUUCACGGAAAGAGAAACAGGGAGCAAAUGAUUGUCACGCUUUUUAAGCAUUUGAUAAUCUGAUUUUGCUUGAAUUUCCAUUAUUCUGUAGCUGUUACAGAAUGCACAUUCAAUUAUAGUUCUAUUCACUCUGUGUGGAAAUGAAAUCAGCCGGUGAUUUUUAAUUUUGUUUGGUGGCUGCUGAAUUUUAAUGAUGGGAUCUAUUUCCUUGCCACCCCUUUGCCUUACUAUCAGGGUUCUAGUUGUUUUAAACUUAUAUUCUUUGUGUUUGUUGAAGGUUUGGGCUAUUGCAGAUUCCAAACGACAAGGAUUUCUUGGUUUCAGGGAGUUCAUCACUGCAAUGCAGGUUCCUCCUUUCAACAUUCAUUCUUGUAUUUAUAUCAACUAAUUUGUAAGAACUCGAUAUUUAUUUAUUUUGGUAAUGAACAGCUGGUUUCUCUGGCGCAAGCAGGAAAUGAGAUUACUUCGGACAUCCUUAAAACUACAGGCAAGCAGAAUAAUAUGUUUUGAUUUUCUCUUUCUAUGAGCAUUUGAACAACAAAUUUCAAUUAAUAUAGAUUGGCAUUUUGACAAAAAAAAAAAAGAAAAAAAGAAAAAAAGUAGCCUUGCCCUUGUUAUGCAUUUUUAAAUUGGUUUAUUCAUCCGGUACAUGUAUUUAAAGGAGCGAGGGAAGAGAUGGGGCAAUGGGACCUUAUUUUUUUAUAGAUCAUAACCCUCAAGGUAUGAUAAUUUUCUUAAACAAAAAAAAUCUGAAGUGAGGCAUUAAGACAUAAAGGUAAUGUUCUGAUGGAGACCUUAUCUUUGAACUUUGCUCAAAGGCGGUUAGCACACUGCCCUACACAAGGGAAUGAUUGGGAUUUAAGGAUUAACCUUCUGUUAACAAACACUUGUAGAACAUUGUUUGUCUUGCUGUUUAACCUGAAUUGUUACAUCUUUCCUUUAUUACAGUGGAUUUGGAGAAUUUAGAACCUCCAUCAAUGGAAGGUUUGAAUGCCUUACUAGCUGUAAGUUUUCUUUCUUAUCUUUACACUAGUUUAUUUAUUCAAAUGACCUUUUUAAGUUUAUUGAAUUUCUCCUUGUUCUUUUUCUUCUAGAAAAAUAAGGUCUCAACAAAUAAUGGCGAGCUUGAAUUAAAUGGUUAGCAAAUUUCUUAUCUUCCAAUGGUAAAUUUGAGAUUGCUUUAACUGUUCUUUCCUUAAAAUCAGUUUACUGGUAAUGUUGUAGGAGAUUCUAGGCCACAGCCAUCACCAUCAGCUCCUUGGUUCACCUCAAAAUCUGUAAAGAAAGUAAGAAUUGUCUUGCCUAGUGAUUUUAAUCUUUCAUUUCGUUUAUGGGCAUUUUUCCAACUUGGAAGAUUAGAAGCAUUAUUAUUAUAUAAAAAAAUUGGUGGGAUUUUCUGUUUAAUAACUGUCAAAUUUAGUUCUUCACCUACUCUCUUAUUUAUCCAUUUUAAUGAAUCUGCCCUUGCACCAUGAAGAUGUUCUUAUAUAUUUAUUGAAAAAUGUCCUCCUUUUGGUCGUUUUACCAGAUAUUCUCUCCUCUUCUCUUCUUUUCUAGGCACCUCUUAAUUCCGUUACAUCAAUAAUAGAUGGCUUGAAGAGACUAUACAAUGAAAAGUUAAAGCCAUUGGAAGUCACCUACCGCUAUAAUGAUUUUGUUUCUCCCUUAUUGGUAAGUGGACUGAGUAUUUUAGUUUGUUUAUGAUGAGAUGCCUAAAUUUGUUAAUGAUGAGAUGUCUCUCCCUUUUCCUAUGUAACACAUGUUCUAAAAAAUGUGAUAUUAUGUAUGCUCUGUUCUCGUAGAUUUCUGACUCUAGCUCCAGAAGUUCUAUUUGAGAGUAUGGAAAUAUUUUUUAUUUUUUCUUUUGCAGACACAUAGUGACUUUGAUGCCAAACCCAUGGUUAUGCUUUUGGGUCAGUAUUCAACUGGGAAAACUACAUUCAUAAAACAUUUACUCGGAUGUAAUUUCCCAGGUAAGUAAACUUUCUGUUUCUGUUCUUCCCUUUUUCAGUUACAACUAGUUGAGAACAAUUUCGUUUCUUGGCUUACUAUUUCCUUCUUUUUGGAUAGGAGCUCACAUUGGACCAGAGCCUACAACCGAUCGUUUUGUUGUUGUCAUGGUAUCAUGAAAUCAUUUUCAUGUUUCCAUCCUGUUACUAAAAUUUAAUCAAGCACUGCUGUUCUUUUAGAUGUCUUCGCUUAUCUUCUUCUCCUAUUUCUCCCCAUAUCUGUUGAUUAUUUGAGGUUCUGUGAAAUCAAAUGCAGUUUUUAGUAACUUGUUGUGUACUCGUUCUCAGUCUGGACCUGAUGAAAGGAGCAUUCCUGGAAAUACCAUUGCAGUUAAUGCAGAGAUGCCAUUCAAUGGACUGACAACUUUUGGAGGG